rnacentral:rRNA from 1 species
UGAGGAAUAUUGGUCAAUGGGCGAGAGCCUGAACCAGCCAAGUCGCGUGAGGGAAGAAGGUUUUAUGAAUCGUAAACCUCUUUUGUCGGGGAGCAAAAGCCGGUACGAGUACCGGAAAGGAGAGUACCCGAAGAAAAAGCAUCGGCUAACUCCGUGCCAGCAGCCGCGGUAAUACGGAGGAUGCGAGCGUUAUCCGGAUUUAUUGGGUUUAAAGGGUGCGCAGGCGGCAUUAUAGGUCGUCGGUUAAAGUUCGGGGCUUAACCCCGUGAUGCCGACGAAACCGUAGAGCUGGAGUGUGAAUAAUGUAGGCGGAAUGCGCGGUGUAGCGGUGAAAUGCAUAGAUAUCACGCAGAACUCCAAUUGCGAAGGCAGCUUACAGGUUCACAACUGACGCUGAGGCACGAAAGCGUGGGGAUCGAACAGG